rnacentral:lncRNA from 1 species
GGGGGAGGGAAGGGGGGAGACGGCCCUGCUCAGGAUCUGGUUCUGCCCCAGGGCUGUGUGCUGCUGCUGCUGCUGUUGCUCUGUCUUUGUCUGAGGAAUGAUUAACACAGAGUGAGCAGCACUAAAGACACUGCAUAUGAAUUGUGUGUGCUGACAAAGACUGGUGCUGUUACAAAUCUUUGCUGCGAGUGAGUGAAACAGGGGAAAUCCAUAUAGUGGCCAGCACUCACACAUGGAGAGGGCUUGCAGUAAUGAGGAAGAAGGACUUUGCUCACUGUGUGCUGGUCUUGUGAUGCCGUGGAAGUGCUUCAGUCGCCUCAGGAUCAGACACCGCUGUCAUCUGCAAGAGUGGACAUGGAGUGGGGAAUCAGCCUGA